GAGAAAGAGAAGAAGAGCGAACGGAGGAUGCCUUGGCUUCCAGAGACGAUGAAGGACGUGGUAAGCUGCGAAAAGGUGCGGGGAUCUGCAAACAGGAAUUGAUCCGCACAUAUCCGAAUGGGGCAACCCGCUGGAUUGAAGAUCCAGCACAUCUAUUUUAGAUGGGUGAACCCGGGGAACUGAAACAUCUUAGUACCCGGAGGAAGAGAAAGAAAUAUCGAUUCCCAAAGUAGUGGCGAUCGAAAUGGGAAGAGCCUAAACCGGUGACGUUACGGCGCCAUCGGGGUUGUAGGAGCAUUCAUAAAGACUCAGCAAUGAACCGGAACCGUCUGGAAAGUCGGACCGCAGGGGGUGAAAGUCCCGUACGGGUGAAGAGGUUGAGUUGAGAGUGCCACCUGAGUAGGGCGGGACACGUGGAAUCCUGUCUGAAUCUGCGGCGACCAUGCCGCAAGGCUAAAUACUUCUGGAC
rnacentral:rRNA from 1 species